rnacentral:rRNA from 1 species
ACUCCUACGGGAGGCAGCAGUGGGAAUAUUGGACAAUGGGGGAAACCCUGAUCCAGCCAUGCCGCGUGUGUGAAGAAGGCCUUCGGGUUGUAAAGCACUUUCAGUGGGGAGGAAAGGUUGCAGGUUAAUACCCUGUAGCUGUGACGUUACCCACAGAAGAAGCACCGGCUAACUCCGUGCCAGCAGCCGCGGUAAUACGGAGGGUGCAAGCGUUAAUCGGAAUUACUGGGCGUAAAGCGUGCGCAGGCGGUCUGUUAAGCGAGAUGUGAAAG